GACCAAUGAUGAGUAUUCUGGGGUGUCUGA
rnacentral:piRNA from 2 species